ACUGGACAGGGUCCUAAAUCCAUGGGCCCAUCUUUUAAUCCAUCCAGUUCGUAUAAUCGACCAUCAAUAGAUACAUAACUCACAAAAUGGAAUACAUCAUCAUCUUUAGAUGCUUGUUUAGUGUCAUACUCGAAUAAUGAAUCAGACUUAAACUUUCCAUCCAUGCUACGCAGGUGAUCAACAUUCUUAUCUUUCAACAAUUAACAAAUUAUCCAAAAUGGAAAGUUCAACAAAAGAAGUGUACUGCGUAAUUUGCUAAAAAAUACUUCCUCUUCUUCUAGAACUAAAGUUUUACCUCGAAAAAGAAUUGUGAACUUCUCGAAUAACAUCGGAAUUACUUAAAGCGAGACCUCGCAUAUUUGCAUCGAAACUCUGACAAAAGUUUUUAAAUUCCUCUAAAUUAGGACCCAACGAUAUAUCUGAGUGUUUGCAAUUUAAAAGUACACUCAGUAUUGCUUGCGUAGCGCAAGCAUUAUUUAUCACCUAUAAAUAUGAUUUUUAAAUUAAAAUUAUUAGGAACAUUAUAUUGCAAUUUUAAAAGAU
rnacentral:lncRNA from 1 species